rnacentral:lncRNA from 1 species
AUGUGCAAGCUCGCCGUGUCAGAAUGGAGGGACUUGUCAGGAUUCCGUCAAUGGGUACAACUGCUCUUGUAUCACAGGCUACAAUGGACCACAUUGCCAAACAGAGGUACCUGGAUGCACCAAUUCAACCUGCAUCAACGGGCAAUGCAUCGAGGGGAUAGCGGGAUCAGUUUGUGACUGUGAACCUGGUUGGACUGGAGGAAACUGCGAUGAUGAUAUCGACGAAUGUGAGGUUUGGCCGCGUCCUUGCCUCAACGAUGGAGUGUGUCUUGAUGACCGGAACGGUUUCAUCUGCAUCUGUGCUCCGGAAUUCACGGGGGACAG